GGCCCUUUGUUAACGAUUAGAUAAAGGGUCGAGCCUGCCCAGUGACGUGUGUUAAACGGCCGCGGUAUCCUAACCGUGCAAAGGUAGCGUAAUCAUUUGCUCAUUAAUUGUGGGCUAGUAUGAAUGGCCUGACGAGGGUGAGACUGUCUCUUAGUAGAGUAUGUGGAAAUUAUUUUUUAGGUGAAGAGACCUAAAUAUAACCAAGGGACGAUAAGACCCUAUCGAGCUUUAGUGGAACCCCGAAGUUCAUGAGAGUAGUGUAUAUUUCAUUGUUUGGGGGAAUCUUUGGUUGGGGCGAUCAAGAAGUAAAAAAAACCUUUAAUUUUUAGAUGCUGGCCUAUAGGCGAAAGAUCUGGCAUAUUAUGCAGAUAAAAAGAAUAAGUUACCGUAGGGAUAACAGCGUAAUCUUUUUGGAGAGUUCUUAUUGAGAAAAGGGUUUGCGACCUCGAUGUUGGACUAAGAUAACCUGAGGGUGUAGCAGCUUUCUAGGGUUGGUCUGUUCGACCAUUAAAAUCUUACA
rnacentral:rRNA from 1 species